CCUACGGCUAAAUUUGACUCGACACGGGGAAACUUACCAGGUCCAGACAUAGCAAGGAUUGACAGACUGAGAGCUCUUUCUUGAUUCUAAGGGUGGUGGUGCAUGGCUGUUCUUAGUUGGUGGAGCGAAGUGUCUUGUUAAUUCCGUUAACGAACGAGACCUCAGCCUACUAACUAGCUAUGCGGAGCCAUCCCUCCGCAGCUAGCUUCUUAGAGGGACUAUCGCCGUUUAGGCGACGGAAGUUUGAGCCAAUAACAGGUUUGUGAUGCCCUUAGAUGUUCUAGGCCACUGAGGG
rnacentral:ncRNA from 1 species